rnacentral:rRNA from 1 species
UACGUAGGGCGCAAGCGUUGUCCGGAAUUAUUGGGCGUAAAGAGCUCGUAGGCGGUUUGUCGCGUCUGUCGUGAAAACUCGGGGCUUAACCCCGAGCCUGCAGUGGAUACGGGCAGACUAGAGGUAGGUAGGGGAGAAUGGAAUUCCCGGUGUAGCGGUGAAAUGCGCAGAUAUCGGGAGGAACACCGGUGGCGAAGGCGGUUCUCUGGGCCUUACCUGACGCUGAGGAGCGAAAGCGUGGGGAGCGAACAGG